rnacentral:rRNA from 1 species
GACGAACGCUGGCGGCGUGCUUAACACAUGCAAGUCGAACGGGAUUUAGUAAACAGAAGCCUCGGUGGAAGAUUACUAAUGAGAGUGGCGAACGGGUGAGUAACGCGUGAGCAACCUGCCUAUGACAGUGGGAUAGCCUCGGGAAACCGGGAUUAAUACCGCAUAAAAUCGUAGAAACACAUGUUUUAACGGUCAAAGAUUUAUCGGUCAUAGAUGGGCUCGCGUCUGAUUAGCUAGUUGGUGAGAUAACAGCCCACCAAGGCGACGAUCAGUAGCCGGUGGGGGGGGGGGAACGGCCCAGUGGGAAAGGGGACCGGGUCCAAACCCCGAGGGGGGGGGGCGGGGGGGAAAAUUGCGAAGGGGGGGAAACCCGGGGGGAGGGCGGCCGGGGGAACGGAGAAGGUUUUGGUAUGGAAAAGUUCUGGCCGAGGGGAAGAUAAUGAAAGUACCAAAGAAAAAAGCCCCGCCUAAAUACGU